CAGUCGCCACGGUAAUACGUAGGGCGCAAGCGUUAUCCGGAAUUAUUGGGCGUAAAGAGCUCGUAGGCGGUUUGUCGCGUCUGCCGUGAAAGUCCGGGGCUCAACCCCGGAUCUGCGGUGGGUACGGGCAGACUAGAGUGAUGUAGGGGAGACUGGAAUUCCUGGUGUAGCGGUGAAAUGCGCAGAUAUCAGGAGGAACACCGAUGGCGAAGGCAGGUCUCUGGGCAUUAACUGACGCUGAGGAGCGAAAGCAUGGGGAGCGAACAGGAUUAGAGACCCCCGUAGUCCCUGUCUCUUAUAA
rnacentral:rRNA from 1 species